rnacentral:rRNA from 1 species
UGGGGAAUAUUGCACAAUGGGCGCAAGCCUGAUGCAGCCAUGCCGCGUGUGUGAAGAAGGCCUUCGGGUUGUAAAGCACUUUCAGCGAGGAGGAAGGUGGUGGACUUAAUACGUUCAUCAAUUGACGUUACUCGCAGAAGAAGCACCGGCUAACUCCGUGCCAGCAGCCGCGGUAAUACGGAGGGUGCAAGCGUUAAUCGGAAUUACUGGGCGUAAAGCGCACGCAGGCGGUUUGUUAAGUCAGAUGUGAAAUCCCCGGGCUCAACCUGGGAACUGCAUUUGAAACUGGCAAGCUAGAGUCUCGUAGAGGGGGGUAGAAUUCCAGGUGUAGCGGUGAAAUGCGUAGAGAUCUGGAGGAAUACCGGUGGCGAAGGCGGCCCCCUGGACGAAGACUGACGCUCAGGUGCGAAAGCGUGGGGAGCAAACAGGAUUAGAUACCCCUGGUAGUCCACGCUGUAAACGAUGUCGAUUUUGGAGGUUGUGCCCUUGAGGCGUGGCUUCCGGAGCUAACGC